AAUUUCUUCAAAAUUCCACUGUUAUGUUGCUAAUAGCGAGUGCCAAAGAUGCUUACCAUUUGUUACAUGCAUAAAUAUAACAAUAUUACAAAAAUAUAUGAUAACUCAGUUUAUGGUCAAAAAAAUAAUGAAGAGCUCCAGUGUGCUAAGUACUUCACCCAUAUGCUCCUAGCUCUACGGAAAAUGCUGACAUAAGAUAAUAACUUGGGCAGAGUUCUCCUAUCGUAAAAAAAAGCCGGCUUAGGGUGAAUUGCAUCAAACACUCCCAUACACACGAGGUGAUCGUCAUCUUGAUCAUACAAAAGAACAGUGCCAACUUCUGCAUCUAUAUGUGGAAUUCAUUGUUCGCCUAUCUGAGAAAGAACAAGAGAUCCUCCCUUUGUCCAAGAAGACAACUUCCCAAAUUACCCCACAUCAAUGUAUACAGUAUUACAGUGCAAUGUACUGUCUUCCUCUUUUCAGAUUAACAAAUGCAACACGACAAUCAAUAACUAUGCAUUUUGGAGUGAUCUUCCUAGUGACAGUAGAGCUUGAUCACAGAGUCUGCUCCUGCAGUAAACAACCAUGGUUGCCUAGGAUGGAACUUACAGUCCAUGACACCUCUUCCAUUUUCACUGGCAUGACCACGAAGAAUCUCCAGAGGUACAAUCAAUGGAUUCUGGUUUAGAUCUGAAUAAACCAUGCCAUGGAAAACAUAUGCCGUACAAUCGUCAGAAGAUGAAGCAAACAAAGGAUAGGAGCGAUGAAAGGCCACUCUGUUGAUGUCCUUCGGAUGGCAAUUGAGAACUCUGUAAGGUUGAGAUGAAAGGUCCAUAUCAAACCAGCACAGUUUCCCGUCUUUGCUCCCUACAAUAAGAUUGUCACCACCAGGAUGAACAGCAAUAGACGAGACUUCGCGAACCCCUGUCUCUAGCUUCUUAAUGAGCUUUUGCUUCAAGAGAUCAUAAACUCGAAUAUUUUUCUUUGUUGAAAUAAAGAAGGCAGAGCGAGAGGGAUGGAAAGCUGUUGAAACUGGAAGUCCAUGAAGCUUGAAUGGUAUUCUUUGAGUCUGUUUCUUUGAGAGCAUAUGAAUUAGCACUGCUUUUGAUUGGGCAGAUGGCAUAAGCGUUGAGAAAUAGUCGCCCUUCCGAUGCCACUCAACUGAAGAAACAGUCUUGAAGUGCUUCAACCUGAUUCCCCCAUUCUUAUCAUCUUGAACCCAAUUCACAGCGAUUUUAUCAUUAUCAGAGUCAUCAGGGGUUGAUGGAGUUUCAACAUGCAAAAGCUCUUCAAGACUCUUUUGUUCUUCUGCGUUGCCAAGUCCAGUAUUCAGAAGAUAUACAUCUUCUCCCAUGCAGGCUGCCAAUAUGGGGCGUUCAGGCAAAGGAUUCCAGGAGACAUGACUUACAGAUUCCCCAAGCUCCCAAAUCCUGACACACCUUCCAGUUUCAACCUCCCAAAUGCGCACUGUUCCAUCACUUGAACCAGAAGCAAUCCACUGUCCAGUAGAUUCUGUAGAAAUUGACACUACGGGGCCUUUAUGACCUUUAUACUCGAGAUAACAGGACGUUGGAUAAGGUCUGAGAUCCUUGCGACUUGGCAACUUGGGCUUCAAAGACUCGGGAUCAAUAUUAAUACGUUUUUUCCGAGCCCUUGGACAUAAAUAAAGAUCCAAACAACGGCCAAAAUUUUCAUUGACUGCUUUCUCAUAUGCUGGAACAUUUCUCAACGAUGUGAACCGUUUCGGGAUAAACUUUGGUCGGUCUUCCUCAAACAUAAGCUGAUAAGAAUUGAUCUCUUCUUGUGUAGGAAUAUAUUCUAAAGAAGGGUUAUAAGACUCCUCAUGACCAGGCAGUUUAGGUUUUGGAGCAGGAAUAUAUGCCAACCCUUGUCUAUCUAUUGCACUGGAAUCAUCUCCCCAUAAGAGGUAGGCACUUGGCUCUUCCUUUGGCUUCUCGUCAAAUUUUAUAAGCCCCUUUCGAAUUGCCCGCACAUAUUGGACAACCUUUUUACUCUCCCAUUUUGAAGGGAUAAAACGUCUCUUUGGUUCUGGUGCACUAGAAAGAGGAUGUUUGGAGUCAUCCCAGGAAAACCAGUCAACAUAAGGCGCAUAUGGAUCAAAAUCAGCAUGAGGUGCCUUUCCUUUCAGCAAUCUUUUGAUGACCUUGACUUCUUCUUUCGUGAGUUCAACUUCCUCAUCAUUAUAUUCAUCAUAAAUCUUACGCCAAUUCUUGGAAUCAUCAACACUGGCAAGAAAUGAGUCUAAUUUAUCUUGUCUCUCUUUUUUUUUAAUCUUCUUCCCUGCAAGAUCAUAUCCAAUAUGUUCCUCUUCUUUGUACCAUUUCAAUGGAACAUCUCCAACAGUAUUACGAGGAUCAACCUCAUCUUCAGACGAAUCGCUCUCUUCAACUACUGUGCGGGAAUCAUCGCUUUCUGCAUCGUCAUCUUUACCAUGUCCAGUAUCAUCUCUACCACUGCCACUUGCACCAUUACCACUAACAUCAUCACUUUUGGCAUCAAAUGAAUCUUCAUUAUCACUUGAUACAAAAACAUCCUCUUCCCCGGAUAGAUGACUGUCUUCUGAUCCAGAUUCACCAAGUGAUCCAUCAUCAGAAAAAUCCUCGUCGUCGUCAUCGUCAGAAACAACAGGGGAUUCUACAAAAUUUUCUUCUUCUACUGCUUCUUCAUCUUUGCUUCUUUCUACCGCCUCUUCCGUGUUCUCCUUUUGUUCCAAUAAGUUAAUUGCUUCUUCUUUCUCUGCAUCUUUCUGCAAGUUUUUCUGACGGG
rnacentral:misc_RNA from 1 species